rnacentral:lncRNA from 1 species
UGGCUUUCAAGGAGGUAUGAGGAAGUAAGAAAGGUAAGAAAGACAGUGACCAGGAAGAGUAGACCAGGAGCCUAAGAUCUUUACAGUGACACACUUUGUGAGUAACUAACUUCAGGGAGGUGGGCUUGUUAAUAAACAGAGUGGAGAAACUGGUCACAAGUACAUCUUGACCACAACCUCCAGGAAGUAUGAACUUAACAUCUGUAAGAAAAGCACAAAUGUUGCUUCUCUGGUUAGCUGUGACUAGUAAUGGCCCCACUUUGCUAGAAGUUCCUGAUGUAACACAUCUUAAUCCAAAGUAAAGCAUGAAUAAAGUUGAUUUUUCUACUACUUUAGAACAUCAAUAUCAUAGAUUCACUGGAUCUACUUGUAUCUGCAUUUUAGAUGGUCUGCUACUAAAGUCUUGCUGUUUAAAAGGAGCUGCUGUU